UACGUAGGUCGCAAGCGUUGUCCGGAUUUACUGGGCGUAAAGAGCGCGCAGGCGGCUGGUCAAGUCCGAUGUGAAAUCCCCCGGCUCAACUGGGGAACUGCACAGGAAACUGCUUGGCUUGAGUUCGGGAGAGGGAAGCGGAAUUCCGGGUGUAGCGGUGAAAUGCGUAGAUAUCCGGAGGAACACCGGUGGCGAAGGCGGCUUCCUGGACCGACACUGACGCUGAGGCGCGAAAGCUAGGGGAGCAAACGGG
rnacentral:rRNA from 1 species